UCGAGAAUAAUUCACAAUGGGGGCAACCCUGAUGGUGCAACGCCGCGUGGAGGAUGACGGUCUUCGGAUUGUAAACUCCUGUCAUCCGGGAGUAAGACCCGGUCGUGAAUAGCGGCCGGGGUUGAUAGUACCGGAAGAGGAAGGGACGGCUAACUUCGUGCCAGCAGCCGCGGUAAUACGAAGGUCCCGAGCGUUGUUCGGAAUCACUGGGCGUAAAGGGAGCGUAGGCGGCGCGGUAAGUCAGAUGUGAAAUCCCGGGACUCAACCCCGGAACCGCAUCCGAUACUGCCGCGCUUAGAGGAUUGGAGAGGUAGCUGGAAUUCUUGGUGUAGCAGUGAAAUGCGUGGAUAUCAAGAGGAACACUCGUGGCGAAAGCGAGCUACUGGACAACUCCUGACGCUGAGGCUCGAAGGCCAGGGUAGCGAGAGGG
rnacentral:rRNA from 1 species